rnacentral:rRNA from 1 species
GAUGAACGCUGGCGGCGUGCCUAAUACAUGCAAGUCGAGCGAAUGGAUUAAGAGCUUGCUCUUAUGAAGUUAGCGGCGGACGGGUGAGUAACACGUGGGUAACCUGCCCAUAAGACUGGGAUAACUCCGGGAAACCGGGGCUAAUACCGGAUAACAUUUUGAACCGCAUGGCUCGAAAUUGAAAGGCGGCUUCGGCUGUCACUUAUGGAUGGACCCGCGUCGCAUUAGCUAGUUGGUGAGGUAACGGCUCACCAAGGCAACGAUGCGUAGCCGACCUGAGAGGGUGAUCGGCCACACUGGGACUGGGACACGGCCCAGACUCCUACGGGAGGCAGCAGUAGGGAAUCUUCCGCAAUGGACGAAAGUCUGACGGAGCAACGCCGCGUGGGUGAUGAAGGCUUUCGGGUCGUAAAACUCUGUUGUUAGGGAAGAACAAGUGCUAGUUGAAUAAGCUGGCACCUUGACGGUACCUAACCAGAAAGCCACGGCUAACUACGUGCCAGCCGCCGCGGUAA